rnacentral:rRNA from 1 species
GACGAACGCUGGCGGCGUGCUUAACACAUGCAAGUCGAACGGAAAGGCCCUGCUUUUGUGGGGUGCUCGAGUGGCGAACGGGUGAGUAACACGUGAGUAACCUGCCCUUGACUUUGGGAUAACUUCAGGAAACUGGGGCUAAUACCGGAUAGGAGCUCCUGCUGCAUGGUGGGGGUUGGAAAGUUUCGGCGGUUGGGGAUGGACUCGCGGCUUAUCAGCUUGUUGGUGGGGUAGUGGCUUACCAAGGCUUUGACGGGUAGCCGGCCUGAGAGGGUGACCGGCCACAAUGGGACUGCGAUACGGACCAGACUCCUACGGGAGGCAGCAGGGGGGAAUAUGGCACAAUGGGCGGAAGCCUGAUGCAGCAACGCCGCGUGCGGGAUGACGGCCUUCGGGUUGUAAACCGCUUUCGCCUGUGACGAAGCGUGAGUGACGGUAAUGGGUAAAGAAGCACCGGCUAACUACGUG